CUACGGGCGGCUCCAGUGGGGAAUAUUGCACAAUGGAGGAAACUCUGAUGCAGCAACGCCGCGUGGAGGAUGACACUUUUCGGAGCGUAAACUCCUUUUAUAUAGGAAGAAGAUGACGGUACUAUAUGAAUAAGCGCCGGCUAACUCCGUGCCAGCAGCCGCGGUAAUACGGAGGGCGCAAGCGUUACUCGGAAUCACUGGGCGUAAAGAGCGUGUAGGCGGAUUAAAAAGUCAGAAGUGAAAUCCUAUAGCUUAACUAUAGAACUGCUUCUGAAACUCUUAAUCUAGAAUAUGGGAGAGGUAGAUGGAAUUUCUGGUGUAGGGGUAAAAUCCGUAGAGAUCAGAAGGAAUACCUAAAGCGAAGGCGAUCUACUAGAACAUUAUUGACGCUGAGACGCGAAAGCGUGGGGAGCAAACAGGAUUAGAUACCCCUGUAGUC
rnacentral:rRNA from 1 species